ACGCACGCUGGCGGCGUGCUUCACACAUGCCAGUCGAACGGAAAGGCCCUGCUUUUGUGGGGUGCUCGAGUGGCGAACGGGUGAGUAACACGUGAGUAACCUGCCCUUGACUUUGGGAUAACUUCAGGAAACUAGGGCUAAUACCGGAUAGGAGCUCCUGCUGCAUGGUGGGGGUUGGAAAGUUUCGGCGGUUGGGGAUGGACUCGCGGCUUAUCAGCUUGUUGGUGGGGUAGUGGCUUACCAAGGCUUUGACGGGUAGCCGGCCUGAGAGGGUGACCGGCCACAUUGGGACUGAGAUACGGCCCAGACUCCUACGGGAGGCAGCAGUGGGGAAUAUUGCACAAUGGGCGGAAGCCUGAUGCAGCAACGCCGCGUGCGGGAUGACGGCCUUCGGGUUGUAAACCGCUUUCGCCUGUGACGAAGCGUGAGUGACGGUAAUGGGUAAAGAAGCACCGGCUAACUACGUG
rnacentral:rRNA from 1 species